GGAUUCCCCUAGUAACUGCGAGUGAAGCGGGAAAAGCUCAAAUUUAAAAUCUGGCAGUCUCUGGCUGUCCGAGUUGUAAUCUAGAGAAGUAAUGCCCGUGCUGGACCGUGUAUAAGUCUCCUGGGAUGGGGCGUCAUAGAGGGUGAGAAUCCCGUCUUUGACACGGACUACCAGUGCAUUGUGGUAUGCUCUCAAAGAGUCGAGUUGUUUGGGAAUGCAGCUCAAAAUGGGUGGUAAAUUCCAUCUAAAGCUAAAUAUUGGCGAGAGACCGAUAGCGAACAAGUACCGUGAGGGAAAGAUGAAAAGAACUUUGGAAAGAGAGUUAAACAGUACGUGAAAUUGCUGAAAGGGAAACGCUUGAAGUCAGUCGCGUUGGCCGGGAAUCAGCCUUGCUUUUGCAUGGUGUACUUUCUGGUUGACGGGUCAGCAUCAAUUUUGACUGCUGGAAAAAGGCCUGGGGAAUGUGGCAGCUUCGGCUGUGUUAUAGCCCCUAGUCACAUACAGUGGUUGGGAUUGAGGAACUCAGCAYGCCGCAAGGCCGGGUUUCGACCACGUUCGUGCUUAGGAUGCUGGCAUAAUGGCUUUAAGCGACCCGUCUUGAAACACGGACCAAGGAGUCUAACAUGCCUGCGAGUAUUUGGGUGGAAAACUCAAGUGCGCAAUGAAAGUGAAAGUUGAGAUCCCUGUCGUGGGGAGCAUCGACGCCCGGACCAGAACUUUUGGGACGGAUCCGCGGUGGAGCAUGUAUGUUGGGACCCGAAAGAUGGUGAACUAUGCCUGAAUAGGGUGAAGCCAGAGGAAACUCUGGUGGAGGCUCGUAGCGAUUCUGACGUGCAAAUCGAUCGUCAAAUUUGGGUAUAGGGGCGAAAGACUAAUCG
rnacentral:rRNA from 1 species